rfam:Sodalis glossinidius str. 'morsitans' DNA, complete genome.
CUUCGCUGGUGGCGCCCCCCUUUAGCGGGUGGUGAAAUCAUGCGUCGCUGUCAUCAGACAGAGCACGAUCCCAAAUAGCCCGCUGCGUUAGCGGGUUUUUUAUG